CCGGUGCUUGCACUGGUCAAUCUAGUGGCGAACGGGUGAGUAACACGUGGGUAACCUGCCCAUCAGAGGGGGAUAACAUUCGGAAACGGAUGCUAAAACCGCAUAGGUCUUCGAACCGCAUGGUUUGAAGAGGAAAAGAGGCGCAAGCUUCUGCUGAUGGAUGGACCCGCGGUGCAUUAGCUAGUUGGUGAGGUAACGGCUCACCAAGGCCGUGAUGCAUAGCCGACCUGAGAGGGUGAUCGGCCACAUUGGGACUGAGACACGGCCCAAACUCCUACGGGAGGCAGCAGUAGGGAAUCUUCCGCAAUGGACGCAAGUCUGACGGAGCAACGCCGCGUGAGUGAAGAAGGUUUUCGGAUCGUAAAACUCUGUUGUUAGAGAAGAACAAGUGCUAGAGUAACUGUUAGCGCCUUGACGGUAUCUAACCAGAAAGCCACGGCUAACUACGUGCCAGCAGCCGCGGUAAUACGUAGGUGGCAAGCGUUGUCCGGAUUUAUUGGGCGUAAAGCGAGCGCAGGCGGUUCCUUAAGUCUGAUGUGAAAGCCCCCGGCUCAACCGGGGAGGGUCAUUGGAAACUGGGGAACUUGAGUGCAGAAGAGGAGAGUGGAAUUCCAUGUGUAGCGGUGAAAUGCGUAGAUAUAUGGAGGAACACCAGUGGCGAAGGCGACUCUCUGGUCUGUAACUGACGCUGAGGCUCGAAAGCGUGGGUAGCAAACAGGAUUAGAUACCCUGGUAGUCCACGCCGUAAACGAUGAGUGCUAAGUGUUGGAGGGUUUCCGCCCUUC
rnacentral:rRNA from 1 species